rnacentral:misc_RNA from 1 species
CCAAUAGCGUAUAUUAAAGUUGUUGCAGUUAAAAAGCUCGUAGUUGAAUUUCGGGAUCAAUAUAUCGGUCGUGCCAUUGGUACGUACUGGUAUCAUUGGUUUCUCCUUUCUGACGAACCAUGAUGUCAUUAAUUUGGUGUUAUGGGAAGUUAGGACUGUUACUUUGAAAAAAUUAGUGUGUUUAAAGCAGGCUUUAGCUUGAAUACAUUAGCAUGGAAUAAUGAAAUAGGACGUUCGAACCUAUUUUGUUGGUUUCUAGGAUCAACGUAAUGAUUAAUAGGGAUAGUUGGGGGCAUUAGUAUUCAAAUGUCAGAGGUGAAAUUCUUGGAUUUAUUGAAGACUAACUACUGCGAAAGCAUUUGCCAAGGAUGUUUUCAUUAAUCAAGAACGAAAGUUAGGGGAUCGAAGACGAUCAGAUACCGUCGUAGUCUUAACCAUAAACUAUGCCGACUAGGGAUCGGAUGAUGUUAAUUUUUUAAUGACUCAUUCGGCGCCUUACG